rnacentral:rRNA from 1 species
UACGGAGGGGACUAGCGUUGUUCGGAAUUACUGGGCGUAAAGCGCGCGUAGGCGGAUUUGCAAGUCGGGGGUGAAAGCCCGAGGCUCAACCUCGGAACUGCCCUCGAUACUGCAAAUCUCGAGUCCGAGAGAGGUGAGUGGAAUCCCUAGUGUAGAGGUGAAAUUCGUAGAUAUUAGGAAGAACACCAGUGGCGAAGGCGGCUCACUGGCCCGGUACUGACGCUCAUGUGCGAAAGCGUGGGGAGCAAACAGG